rnacentral:rRNA from 1 species
GAUGAACGCUGGCGGCGUGCCUAAUACAUGCAAGUCGAGCGAACAGACGAGGAGCUUGCUCCUCUGAUGUUAGCGGCGGACGGGUGAGUAACACGUGGAUAACCUACCUAUAAGACUGGGAUAACUUCGGGAAACCGGAGCUAAUACCGGAUAACAUGUUGAACCGCAUGGUUCAAAAGUGAAAGACGGUCUUGCUGUCACUUAUAGAUGGAUCCGCGCCGCAUUAGCUAGUUGGUAAGGUAACGGCUUACCAAGGCAACGAUGCGUAGCCGACCUGAGAGGGUGAUCGGCCACACUGGAACUGAGACACGGUCCAGACUCCUACGGGAGGCAGCAGUAGGGAAUCUUCCGCAAUGGGCGAAAGCCUGACGGAGCAACGCCGCGUGAGUGAAGAAGGUCUUCGGAUCGUAAAACUCUGUUAUUAGGGAAGAACAUAUGUGUAAGUAACUAUGCACGUCUUGACGGUACCUAAUCAGAAAGCCACGGCUAACUACGUG